GACGAACGCUGGCGGCGUGCCUAAUACAUGCAAGUUGAGCGAUGAAGAUUGGUGCUUGCACCAAUUUGAAGAGCAGCGAACGGGUGAGUAACGCGUGGGGAAUCUGCCUUUGAGCGGGGGACAACAUUUGGAAACGAAUGCUAAUACCGCAUAACAACUUUAAACAUAAGUUUUAAGUUUGAAAGAUGCAAUUGCAUCACUCAAAGAUGAUCCCGCGUUGUAUUAGCUAGUUGGUGAGGUAAAGGCUCACCAAGGCGAUGAUACAUAGCCGACCUGAGAGGGUGAUCAGCCACAUUGGGAGUGAGACACGGCACAAACGCCUACGGGAGGGAGCAGUAGGGAAUCUUCGGCAAUGGACGAAAGUCUGACCGAGCAACGCCGCGUGAGUGAAGAAGGUUUUCGGAUCGUAAAACUCUGUUGGUAGAGAAGAACGUUGGUGAGAGUGGAAAGCACAUCAAGUGACGGUAACUACCCAGAAAGGGACGGCUAACUACGUG
rnacentral:rRNA from 1 species